rnacentral:tRNA from 1 species
GCGGGUAUGGCGGAAUUGGCAGACGCACAAGAUUUAGGUUCUUGCGGAGAAAUCCAUACAGGUUCAAGUCCUGCUACCCGCACCA